UGGGGAAUAUUGGACAAUGGGCGAAAGCCUGAUCCAGCCAUGCCGCGUGUGUGAAGAAGGUCUUCGGAUUGUAAAGCACUUUAAGUUGGGAGGAAGGGCAGUAAGCGAAUACCUUGCUGUUUUGACGUUACCGACAGAAUAAGCACCGGCUAACUCUGUGCCAGCAGCCGCGGUAAUACAGAGGGUGCAAGCGUUAGUCGGAAUUACUGGGCGUAAAGCGCGCGUAGGUGGUUCGUUAAGUUGAAUGUGAAAGCCCCGGGCUCAACCUGGGAACUGCAUCCAAAACUGGCGAGCUAGAGUAGGGCAGAGGGUGGUGGAAUUUCCUGUGUAGCGGUGAAAUGCGUAGAUAUAGGAAGGAACACCAGUGGCGAAGGCGACCACCUGGGCUCAUACUGACACUGAGGUGCGAAAGCGUGGGGAGCAAACAGG
rnacentral:rRNA from 1 species